rnacentral:lncRNA from 1 species
AUGGAGCAAAUGCAUUUUCUCUGCCUCCAGAAUUUCAACAACGGCUCAGAAAACAAAUUUACCAUGAAAAUGCAGAGCAGUCCAGCCUUGUACAGACAAGGAGAAGUGACCUCACUGCAGGUGAGCAGAGCCCCGACGGGCCUCCCGCUCUGCCGCCCACACCGGGGCCACUGCCACCAAGGAAACCCAAGGACAGGCUGGCCCAAGUGUCGGGCCUCGGACGGCCCACGCACCGCUCCCUGCGGGCCCCGCCGCCUCACCCGGAGCUGGAAGGUGUGCUGGGCGGGCUGCCCUCCCCGCCGGUGGCCCUUUUGGUUUGGGGCACGGCCUGACCUUGGACCUGGCGCCGUCCCCUUUCCUGCAGGUGCAGCCGCUCAGACGCCGGAGCAGCUGCCUGUCAGCGCCACCACACCAGGGGUCGGCACGCAGACCCGGCUCGAGCACAGCCCGGAAUCACCGUCCCACGGCCCCAGGGACCGCCACGGGCUGGAAAGGGAGACCAGCAUGUGUCCAAUCACCCCACACAGACCCUUCCCCGUGACCCCCAGAGCCUCCCAACCCUCACCCCGGGCACCGUGGAGGCCCUGCCCAUGUGCCCUGGGGGUCCUCAACCGGCCCCUCCCCAGGUCAGGUGCUGGACAGCCCAGCAUGCAGCCUGUCCCUCCUCGCGGGCCCAGCGCCCUGCUGCACCCGCCACACCCGCCCCCUCGCUGCUGCCAGAGGACUCGCAGGACCCUGGACCGGGCUAUUGAGCCUCAGCCACAGGCCUCAGCCCCAUAGGGCCCGAGGACGGACCCCACUCUACCCCACUCUACUCUACAGAGGGCCCGCCCGGAGUCCCCACACUCAUGCUCUCCUGUUGCCCAGCUGGAGCGCGACAGGUGUCACCUGCCUGGGCCCUCACUGACCCGGAUCUCUAACUUGGAUCUCACACCAAAUUAAAUCCUAAAUGGACCAAAGAUGCAGACGUUUAAAUACAACCCUGGAGGUACUAGAACACAGCACAGGAAGAAUAUUGUGAGCUCACAAAGCCCAAAUCAUACAAAAUUAAUCACUUCACGUACUUCUGCAGGGCCAAACUGCCUUAAGCAAAGAUGAAAGUCAAAUGACAAAGGAAGAAAACUAUUUGCAAGUAUUUGGGGCUAAAGCCUCACUAUGCAAAAAGGCUGUACAAAUCAAUAAGACAAAGUCCAAGAACCCCAGGUCAAGGAUUAAAUAAUUUAUAGGGGGACGUCCCAGGGGCUCAGCGGUGGAGCGCCUGCCUUGGGCUCAGGGCAUGACCCCGGGGUCCCGGGAUCGAGUCCCGCGUUGGGCUCCCUGCGAGGAGCCUGCUUCUCCCUCUGCCUGUGUCUCUGUCUCUCUCUCUGCAUCUCUCAUGAAUAAAGAAAUUAAAUCUUUCUAAAAUUGCUUAUUUAUUUAUUUAUAGAACAAGGAGAAAUUAUAAUUUUUAAACACAUAAAAAGUUGUUCAACUUGACUCAGGAGGAGAAAUGCAACCACGCACCCUCCUCCUCAACCCCUAGGUCGGCUGCGGGGGUCCCAGGCCAGCUCGGGGGGCAGCUUGACAACAGAUCUUUCAAAGUGGGAACUGCACCCGGGUGCCCAGCGCAUCCAGGAGCCACCGUGAGACGUCAAGGUCAGAAAGAGCCUGGAUGUGCGGCCACGAUGGUCGCAGCACGUGGGCCCCAGGACAGAGGCCCCUCCCUUGUGCCUUUUUCUUUUUGAGUCAUCUACAUGUACGACCUGUCGGCCCCUCCAAAAAGGAAAAAAAAAAGUGUUAAAAUAUUUAUGUUUAUGUCUUUUGAUUCCCCAUCCUGUAACUGAUCCUGAGGCUCUGAGCUGGGGCGUAGGGGCAGGCACCCCCGUGUCGGGAGGGCUGGCGCUGCAGGGGCCCCCCAGGAUGCCAGCCUCCCCGAGGGCCUGACAGGAGCUCCCAGCGCCCCACAGAUGGGUCCCUCCCCGGGAGCUCCUGGCAGCUCCAGGUGGGCAAACGUGAG